rnacentral:rRNA from 1 species
AGAUUGAACGCUGGCGGCAGGCCUAACACAUGCAAGUCGAGCGGCAGCACGGGUACUUGUACCUGGUGGCGAGCGGCGGACGGGUGAGUAAUGCCUAGGAAUCUGCCUGAUAGUGGGGGAUAACGUUCGGAAACGGACGCUAAUACCGCAUACGUCCUAACGGGAGAAAGUGGGGGAUCUUCGGACCUCACGCUAUCAGAUGAGCCUAGGUCGGAUUAGCUAGUUGGUAGGUAAAGGCCUACCAAGGCUACGAUCCGUAACUGGUCUGAGAGGAUGAUCAGUCACACUGGAACUGAGACACGGUCCAGACUCCUACGGGAGGCAGCAGUGGGAAUAUUGGACAAUGGGCGAAAGCCUGAUCCAGCCAUGCCGCGUGUGUGAAGAAGGUCUUCGGAUUGUAAAGCAACUUUAAGGUUGGAGGAAGGGCUAAUUAACCUAAUACGUUAGUGUUUUAGACUUACGACAAGAAUAAGCACCGACUAACUCUGUGCCAGCAGCCGUA